AGGCCCAGCAGGGGUUUGAACCCUGGAACUUUGGUUUACAAGACCGACGCCUUACCACUUGGCCACUAAGCC
rnacentral:tRNA from 1 species